GACGAACGCUGGCGGCGUGCUUAACACAUGCAAGUCGAACGGAAAGGCCCUGCUUUUGUGGGGUGCUCGAGUGGCGAACGGGUGAGUAACACGUGAGUAACCUGCCCUUGACUUUGGGAUAACUUCAGGAUACUGGGGCUAAUACCGGAUAGGAGCUCCUGCUGCAUGGCGGGGGUUGGAAAGUUUCGGCGGUUGGGGAUGGACUCGCGGCUUAUCAGCUUGUUGGUGGGGUAGUGGCUUACCAAGGCUUUGACGGGUAGCCGGCCUGAGAGGGUGACCGGCCACAUUGGGACUGAGAUACGGCCCAGACUCCUACGGGAGGCAGCAGUGGGGAAUAUUGCACAAUGGGCGGAAGCCUGAUGCAGCAACGCCGCGUGCGGGAUGACGGCCUUCGGGUUGUAAACCGCUUUCGCCUGUGACGAAGCGUGAGUGACGGUAAUGGGUAAAGAAGCACCGGCUAACUACGUG
rnacentral:rRNA from 1 species